rnacentral:rRNA from 1 species
CAGUCGACGGCAGCACAGGAGAGCUUGCUCUCUGGGUGGCGAGUGGCGGACGGGUGAGGAAUAUAUCGGAAUCUACCCUUUCGUGGGGGAUAACGUAGGGAAACUUACGCUAAUACCGCAUACGAACUGAGGUUGAAAGCGGCGGACCGCAAGGCGUCGCGCGGAUGGAUGAGCCGAUAUCCGAUUAGCUAGUUGGCGGGGUAAAAGCCCACCAAGGCGACGAUCGGUAGCUGGUCUGAGAGGAUGAUCAGCCACACUGGAACUGAGACACGGUCCAGACUCCUACGGGAGGCAGCAGUGGGGAAUAUUGGACAAUGGGCGCAAGCCUGAUCCAGCCAUGCCGCGUGUGUGAAGAAGGCCUUCGGGUUGUAAAGCACUUUUGUUGGGAAAGAAAAGCGGUCGGUUAAUACCCGGUCGUUCUGACGGUACCCAAAGAAUAAGCACCGGCUAACUUCGUGCCAGCAGCCGCGGUAAUACGAAGGGUGCAAGCGUUACUCGGAAUUACUGGGCGUAAAGCGUGCGUAGGUGGUUUGUUAAGUCAGAUGUGAAAGCCCCGGGCUCAACCUGGGAAUUGCAUUUGAUACUGGCAGACUAGAGUGCGGUAGAGGAGAGUGGAAUUCCCGGUGUAGCAGUGAAAUGCGUAGAGAUCGGGAGGAACAUCAGUUGCGAAGGCGGCUCUCUGGACCAGCACUGACACUGAGGCACGAAAGCGUGGGGGAGCAAACAGGAUUAGAUACCCUGAUAGUCCACGCCCUAAACGAUGCGAACUGGACGUUGGGAUCAAUUGAGAUUUCAGUGUCGAAGCUAACGCGUUAAGUUCGCCGCCUGGGGAGUACGGUCGCAAGACUGAAACUCAAGGAAUUGACGG